rnacentral:lncRNA from 1 species
AAACGUCCUUCUCCGACCCCUUCCUCAAGCCUCAUCCCCAUGUUUACCAUUUCGGUAAAGUCACUGGGGGCACUAGCAAUCAUUCGUUCAUAGUAAAAUGAACUCAGAGUUUUAAAAUAGAUCUUUGUCAUCUGUUUUUCCUCCAAAGAAGGAGUGAUCUGGGCAGCCAAUUCCCUCCAUCUCUAGCAUACUCUUUAAAUGUC